rnacentral:rRNA from 1 species
CCUACGGGUGGCAGCAGUGGGGAAUAUUGCGCAAUGGGCGAAAGCCUGACGCAGCGACGCCGCGUGAGGGAUGAAGGUCUUCGGAUCGUAAACCUUUGUCAGCAGGGAAGAACGGUCACUGUGCUAAUCAGCAGUGAAUUGACGGUACCUGCAAAGGAAGCACCGGCUAACUCCGUGCCAGCAGCCACGGUAAUACGGAGGGUGGGAGCGUUAAUCGGAAUUACUGGGCGUAAAGGGCUCGUAGGUGGUAUGUUAAGUCAAGGGUGAAAUGCUCGGGCCCAAGGUGGGAACUGCCUUUGAAACUGGCAAACUGGAGUGUGUGAGAGGUGAGUGGAAUGCCAGGUGUAGGAGUGAAAUCCGUAGAUAUCUGGAGGAACAUCAGUGGCGAAGGCGACUAUCUGGCACAUAACUGACGCUGAGGAGCGAAAGCGUGGGUAGCAAACAGGAUUAGAUACCCUGGUAGUC